AUUGAACGCUGGCGGCAUGCCUUACACAUGCAAGUCGAACGGUAACAGGUCUUCGGAUGCUGACGAGUGGCGAACGGGUGAGUAAUACAUCGGAACGUGCCCAGACGUGGGGGAUAACGAGGCGAAAGCUUUGCUAAUACCGCAUACGAUCUAAGGAUGAAAGCAGGGGACCGCAAGGCCUUGGGCGUUUGGAGCGGCCGACGGCAGAUUAGGUAGUUGGUGGGAUAAAAGCUUACCAAGCCGACGAUCUGUAGCUGGUCUGAGAGGACGACCAGCCACACUGGGACUGAGACACGGCCCAGACUCCUACGGGAGGCAGCAGUGGGGAAUUUUGGACAAUGGGCGAAAGCCUGAUCCAGCAAUGCCGCGUGCAGGAUGAAGGCCUUCGGGUUGUAAACUGCUUUUGUACGGAACGAAAAGGCUCUGGCUAAUACCUGGGGCACAUGACGGUACCGUAAGAAUAAGCACCGGCUAACUACGUG
rnacentral:rRNA from 1 species